rnacentral:rRNA from 1 species
UACGGAGGGUGCAAGCGUUAUCCGGAUUCACUGGGUUUAAAGGGUGCGUAGGCGGGCAGGUAAGUCCGUGGUGAAAUCUCUGAGCUUAACUCAGAAACUGCCAUGGAUACUAUUUGUCUUGAAUAUUGUGGAGGUAAGCGGAAUAUGUCAUGUAGCGGUGAAAUGCUUAGAUAUGACAUAGAACACCAAUUGCGAAGGCAGCUUACUACACAGUUAUUGACGCUGAGGCACGAAAGCGUGGGGGAUCAAACAGAA